AUUGCUACUUUAACAAUAGUGCUGACCUUUGAGUAAAAUUUGGUAAGUGCUAUUUGUUGGGGUAGUUUUA
rnacentral:pre_miRNA from 1 species